GCCGUGACUGACCUUGGGGGACCUGGUAAUGAGAUAACGAUGAUAGGUUUUGCUCUGAGGGCGCUUUCUUCCAGCACCAUUCCCAAGAUCACUACUCAUGUGUGUUGCCUGUAGAGUGGGAGAGACCCAAGCUUUCUAGCCAUUUUCUUGCCUGCUCAGAGAGCUCUGAGUAGAACUGCUCCUCCCCUUGAGGUUCAGCCAAAUGGAACCUUCUUUGUGACCUCUGAAUUCCUAUUUCUGAGGAAAGAGGAAAAUGCUGGGUUAUGGGGAGAUCAUCGGGCCUGUACAGAAGACAGGAUUUCUGACUAUUCUCAGGGGGCAGAUUUUUGUCCCUCUUCUGUACGUUAAUAAAAAUACUAUCCAGUAGUGGGCUUCCGUAUUGUCUCAGGCUCCACUGGAAAUGCAGCAAAGAUUCCUAGCACAUCCCAGUUGCCAUAGCAACAGCAGUCUUUCCCAUAAUGAGCUGCAUCAUCUGAACUGAUGUCACAGCAUCAUGCAGCAGGUCAAACAAGGCAUCUCCUAGUAUUGCAUCCUACAGAUGUGCUGUAAACAUCAAAAGGAGAUGGUGGGAGCAGGAGAUGGUGACUCUCUUUCCU